rnacentral:rRNA from 1 species
UACGUAGGGGGCAAGCGUUGCCCGGAUUUAUUGGGCGUAAAGAGCGUGUAGGCGGCUUUACAGGUCCGUUGUGAAAACUCGAGGCUCAACCUCGAGACGCCGGUGGAAACCGUAAGGCUAGAGUCCGGAAGAGGAGAGUGGAAUUCCUGGUGUAGCGGUGAAAUGCGCAGAUAUCAGGAGGAACACCCGUGGCGAAAGCGGCUCUCUGGGACGGUACUGACGCUGAGACGCGAAAGCGUGGGGAGCAAACAGG